ACACCUUCUUCUUUCCUCUAACAAACAAAACGAUGGUGUCUCUUUGGUAAGGUGUGUCACCGUUUUCGGCCAGCUCUUUAAGACAAAAAUCAGGAUCUUGCUGAAUGGUCUGAAGGAUAUCUGAUCCUGCUCAAGUGCACACUGAGCCAGCAGGUUCACCAGAAAGCUAUUGAGCAUUGGCUGGAACACAUUAUGCAGGGUGAAUUUCUUCUGGAAUGUUGCCAAAGGUUUUUUAUGCUUCUGUGGUAAGCAUUUCUUGAACAUUGUCAUUUAGCCAAGCAAAGAGC
rnacentral:lncRNA from 12 species